UACGUAGGGUGCGAGCGUUAAUCGGAAUUACUGGGCGUAAAGCGUGCGCAGGCGGCUUCGCAAGUCAGACGUGAAAUCCCCGGGCUUAACCUGGGAAUGGCGUUUGAAACUACGGAGCUGGAGUGUGGCAGAGGGAGGUAGAAUUCCACGUGUAGCGGUGAAAUGCGUAGAUAUGUGGAGGAAUACCGAUGGCGAAGGCAGCCUCCUGGGCCAACACUGACGCUCAUGCACGAAAGCGUGGGGAGCAAACAGGAUUAGAUACCCCAGUAGUCC
rnacentral:rRNA from 1 species